AGCUCUGGAAGCCAUCUGAAAUGUAAUUUGCUACACCACUUGGACAUUCUGAUUCCAUUGGUAUCAGAAACGAAAAUAUUUAUGUCACUUUCAGUGGAGUUUGUCUUUCAUCUCUCAGUGGCAUUUCAGGUCACUAAGUGCUAUCCAAUUUAUUUGUAUUCCGGUGCCACUCCAGUGAAGCAUGCCUCUCUGUCAGCUGAGUGUAAGAUGCAGGUGCUCAGCACUUGGAAGCCAUGCCAUGAACAAAUCGACGGUAUCAGCAGCAGCCAGCCAUCCUGUAGACAAUUUCCAAGUAACGACUGGAGAAGAGUUCUCAAAAUUUUUUAGCAGUCCUAACUUCAGUUUUCCCUGGAAAAUCUGAGAUCACUUUCUUGGACUUUGUUAAACUGUCAUAUUUUAUUCCAACUCUCCUUAAUCCUAUUGAAUAUCUAUUUGGUAUUUUAUUUCCAUAAGUAGUUCCUUUAUCACACUGAAAAUAGAGUCUGGUAUAAUUAUGAUUCUUAUAAACAAUUAUCUUUAAUCAUAUUGAUGAUGAAUUUCAAUAAAAUGUUAUUUCUGAAAUUUCU